rnacentral:rRNA from 1 species
CAAUAGCGUAUAUUAAAGCUGUUGCGGUUAAAAAGCUCGUAGUUGGAUUUCUGUCAAGGACAACUGGUCCGCCCUUCGGGUGAGCACAUAGUUUGGUCUUGGCAUCUUGUUGGAAACUGUUGCUGCACUUGGUUGUGUGGCGCAGCGUCCAGCACUUUCACUUUGAGGAAAUUGGAGUGUUUCAAGCAGGCACAUGCCUUUGGACACAGUAGCAUGGAAUAAUUAGAUUGGGCUUUUGCUCCAACUUGUCGGUUUCUGGAGCUGAGGUGAGAAUUAAUGGGGAUUGUUGGGGGCAUCUGAAUUUAGCCGUCAGAGGUGAAAUUCUUGGAUCUGCUAAAGACGGACAACUGCGAAAGCGUUUGCCCAGGAUGUUUCCAUUGA